ACAAUCAAUCAAGCAUGUACUUGAGACUUCCCUGUGGAACACUCCACCAUAGCUUGAAAUCCACAGGGCUUUUUAGUUUCUUUUUUUCAUGUACAAGGGUAACUAAAAAUUCCAAACUGAGUAAACAACAACCAGAAAAGCUUUGGCAGCACAAAUAUAACAACUUUUUACCCUGCUGAGUACUGAAAACCCUGCUGUUAGUUGUUUUUUCUUCUGCAUGCAUGGAUGAACUUCCCAUAUGAACAAGUCGAGUAUGCUUAAUGAGUCAUGGAAGAGCUUGGAUGCCCUCACCUGGAGCUUGGAAUCUUCAGGAUGCAGCAACUAGAAUGGAUGGCUUUGUUUUACCUUCAGCCAUUAUAUCAGGUGUCAUCAAUUUCUUGAUUCAAUUAGUUCUCACUUAUACAUAGUAAUGCCUAUCGACUUCUUAAUUCACUUCUACCCGUGUGACCAGAUAACUCCUUUUUUCCUCUUCCUUCUGUUGGUGGCUGUGAUCAGGGUAUCAGGGGUUGGGGUUGCAACGUGUGUAGAAGGGAAUGAGGCCUGGGUAAAGAUUCAAGAAAAGGCAUUUAGUUCUUGCUCAGCCCCAUAUUGCCUACGUCACUUAAUUUUCAGAGUUUUAGCUUCUUUACAGUUUCAAUCAGCAUAGUAUAACACCUGCCUGAAGGGCUCACAAUAUGGCUGUGAGGAACAAAAUUAGUUGAGUAUGUCAUCAUAUGUGAGGCAGCUGAAAAUGAAAGAUUCCCAGUAGCAGUAGGGGCAAAUGAAGAACUCUGGAAAUUAGACAUGCCUAUUGAGGUGGUAUAAGUGCUGUGUGUACUGACCUAGGCUAAGGAACAUUUUUUCCAUGAAGUAGGAGAAGAGAUUGUUCACUUUCAAGAGUUAGGGGCCACGAGUUGCAGAACGGUGUAAAGGUUUAAGGAAAGUGGAAAUAUUGAGUCAUUUCUAGGAAUGUAAGUUUCUUGGAUAGAGUUACCAGAUAAAUCACAGGAUAUAGGGUUAAAUUUGAAUUCGAGGUAAACUGUGAAUAAAAUGUUCGUUAUAUGUAUAUCCCAACUAUUGCAUGUGAAAUACACUAAAAAUUAUUUGUUGUUCAUCUGAAAUUCGUGUUUGUGCAUUCUGUAUUUUCAUUUGCCGAAUCUGCCAACACUAAUCUAGGGAGAGUUAGGGA
rnacentral:lncRNA from 10 species